rnacentral:lncRNA from 1 species
AAUUUAUCACCUUUCAACUCAUUUCAACCAAAUAAAAUCAAUUCAUUUAAAUUGAGUAAUCAACAUGGCUUAUGAAUUUCUUAAAACUUGGCUCGUGCCAAAAUUAUUCUCAUACUCAGUUGUCAGGAAUACCUUGGUUGAGGGCUAUCCAACGGAGUCCGCCAAGGCCGUUAAAAAGUCAUGUACGCAUAAAUCAUGUUUUUAUUUUGAAAACAUAGCCAUUCCUUGGCGUUGGCUGAGUUCACCCUCACGUGGUGGUUUGGCGUGAAGUGAACUCUAAAGUUGUACCUUGGGAGUUACCCUACG